rnacentral:rRNA from 1 species
UACGUAGGGUGCAAGCGUUGUCCGGAAUUAUUGGGCGUAAAGGGCUCGUGAGGCGGCCAACUAAGUCAGACGUGAAAUCCCUCGGCUUAACCGGGGAACUGCGUCUGAUACUGGAUGGCUUGAGUUUGGGAGAGGGAUGCGGAAGUUCCAGGUGUAGCGGUGAAAUGCGUAGAUAUCUGGAGGAACACCGGUGGCGAAGGCGGCAUCCUGGACCAACACUGACGCUGAGGAGGCGAAAGCCAGGGGAGCAAACGGG